ACAACAAUCAUUCGACACAUCAUCUGGCCUGACGCAUGCCUGAGCUGUGUUGUACUGUCAUUAGCCAGCUUUACACCUGCUUAGUAAUUGUGCUCUCGCUAGGUUCAAGAUCGGGCAUGUGAGCUUCAGCCAUUCUGAGAACAGCCUCACUGGAGCAAAAAAUCCAGUUAAAAAGAGAAACAUAGCAGGCGGUGAGCUGCUGAGUCAUUAUGCAGCCCUCCUCGGAUAGCCUUACACCAAUGCAGAGGAUCAAAGGGAAACUGGAGCUCCAGUCGUGCUGGGAUAAUGGGAACCCACAGAGUUUCUCACUUUCCAAGGUCUUGUCCUUUGACAGAUCAUCAGGCAAGAAUCCCUUUGUUUGGAGCUGCUUUUCCUGCCUUUUAGCUGACUACAAGUGAGGAACAGCCACUGUGAUAUUUGAUGGAAUCAACAGUCAGCACAGUUAUCCUCAUCUUUUCCUUCUGACCCGAAAAAGGGUCCUGGAGCUCUCUACCAGUGUCAUCCUCAAUUCAACCUCAUGCUGAAACUCCGUAUCAUUAAAUGAUAGCAGCCCCUUUGAACAUACUUCCUGACAUAUCUGUUUAGCUUCCGGUUGCUCUUUUAUACCUGAUAAAGAAAAGAAAUUGAAGACA